CUGAGUUUUCUAUCUCUUCAGUGCCUCUUUCAACAAUGAAGAUCAAACCAGGUACUGAGGUAGUGGGAGUGCUCAUCUAGUUUUUGGCUUUUAGUUUUGUGCAAAUAUCUGCUGAGUGAACUACUUAUUUGAAAAUACAUCAUUGGUUAAUAUUCCCUUUUGCUCAUUGAAAUCUCAAAGACUACAGACCCCGCACAAGACAUUCUGACAUUCCCGUCUUUGAAAUGAAUGACAGCAAUGAUAAAUAUGGCUCACCUCCAGAGAUACAGAUCUCACAACUUCAUAUUUUUAAUAUAAAUUAUUAAUCUGAGGUGUGGUGCAAUUCCAUUAGAUGAAAGAGAUCUACACAUUCAGAAGCACAUGAUUCUUCCCCCUUCCAUGAUUCCAGUGGCCAAUAGACAAACUACAAUAAAGCCAUGCCCUGACUGGAUGUGCCUAACAUUUGUCUGGUGCUUAAAGGAGUUGGCUGCAUGCGUGGGAUGGAGAAGGAUUCAACAUUUAAUGGCAGUUAGAAUCAAAUUUUUAACUCAAGAAGGCAGAAGGAAUCCACCUAAAUAAAUGUUGGAAAGUCACCAAAAAUAGUUCUCCAAGUCAGAAGCGGUGCAAAAGCUGCCUCAGCUCUUGGUGGAUUUUCAAUUUCUCCCAGCCAUCUCUGUUUCGCUAAAGGUUUCUGAAGACAGUGGGUAUGUGGCAAACUUCUGCAAUUCUAUAUUAAGAUAAACUGUUAGAUCAAUUA
rnacentral:lncRNA from 10 species